rnacentral:rRNA from 1 species
UUUAUGGAGAGUUUGAUCCUGGCUCAGGACGAACGCUGGCGGCGUGCUUAACACAUGCAAGUCGAACGGAAAGGCCUAGCUUGCUAGGUACUCGAGUGGCGAACGGGUGAGUAACACGUGGGU